CCUACGGGAGGCUGCAGUGAGGAAUAUUGGUCAAUGGCCGCAGGGCUGAACCAGCAAAGUCGCGUGAGGGAUGACGGUCCUAUGGAUUGUAAACCUCUUUUGUCAGGGAGCAAAGGGCGCCACGUGUGGCGCUUUGCGAGUACCUGAAGAAAAAGCAUCGGCUAACUCCGUGCCAGCAGCCGCGGUAAUACGGAGGAUGCGAGCGUUAUCCGGAUUUAUUGGGUUUAAAGGGUGCGCAGGCGGAAUGUCAAGUCAGCGGUAAAAUUUCGGGGCUCAACCCCGUCGUGCCGUUGAAACUGGCGUUCUUGAGUGAGCGAGAAGUAUGCGGAAUGCGUGGUGUAGCGGUGAAAUGCAUAGAUAUCACGCAGAACUCCGAUUGCGAAGGCAGCAUACCGGCGCUCAACUGACGCUCAUGCACGAAAGCGUGGGUAUCGAACAGGAUUAGAUACCCAAGUAGUC
rnacentral:rRNA from 1 species